rnacentral:rRNA from 1 species
CCAAUGGUUAUUGCCUUAGUAGCGGCGAGUGAGCGGCAAAAGCUCAAAUUUGAAAUCUGGCACUUUCAGUGUCCGAGUUGUAAUUUGAAGAAGGUAUCUUUGGGUCUGGCUCUUGUCUAUGUUUCUUGGAACAGAACGUCACAGAGGGUGAGAAUCCCGUGCGAUGAGAUGACCCAGACCUAUGUAAAGUUCCUUCGAAGAGUCGAGUUGUUUGGGAAUGCAGCUCUAAGUGGGUGGUAAAUUCCAUCUAAAGCUAAAUAUUGGCGAGAGACCGAUAGCGAACAAGUACAGUGAUGGAAAGAUGAAAAGAACUUUGAAAAGAGAGUGAAAAAGUACGUGAAAUUGUUGAAAGGGAAGGGCUUGAGAUCAGACUUGGUAUUUUGUAUGUUACUCUUUCGGGGGUGGCCUCUACAGUUUACCGGGCCAGCAUCAGUUUGGGCGGUAGGAGAAUUGCAAAGAAAUGUGGCACUGCUUCGGUAGUGUGUUAUAGUCUUUGUCGAUACUGCCAGCCUAGACUGAGGACUGCGGCUUCGGCCUAGGAUGUUGGCAUAAUGAUCUUAAGUCGCCCGUCUUGAACCACGGACCA